rnacentral:sRNA from 1 species
GAAGCGAGAGAACGUUGCCACAGGCAACGGCCCGAAGGGCGAGGCGCUUUAGCGCCGAGUAAUCCUUCCCCCACCACCA